rnacentral:rRNA from 1 species
UACGAAGGGGGCUAGCGUUGCUCGGAUUGACUGGGCGUAAAGCGCACGUAGGCGGAUCGUUAAGUCGGGGGUGAAAUCCUGGAGCUCAACUCCAGAACUGCCUUCGAUACUGGCGAUCUCGAGUCCGGAAGAGGUGAGUGGAACUCCUAGUGUAGAGGUGGAAUUCGUAGAUAUUAGGAAGAACACCAGUGGCGAAGGCGGCUCACUGGUCCGGUACUGACGCUGAGGUGCGAAAGCGUGGGGAGCAAACAGGG